UGGCCUGCCAGCUUGCAGGAACGAGUAAAAAGAACAAAGUAAAAGAACACGAAAGGCUCCGGCUCCUCGGUGAUUAUCACCACAAUUGCAAUGUCCUGAGCUUAGGCGAAGAACAACUGAUUGUGGUAUGCCUACCUCCCUUGUAAGUCGUGCCUUGGGUUUCACAAGAGGGACGACCUUUGGAGGCACAGAAAGAAGUGUGCGUUUAAACAGCAUGGGACAGACAAAGAAGUUGGUAUCACCUUUGCCACAGACCAAAUGCAAGUGGGCUUUUUUGUGGGUACCAGGGGGUGAAGCUUGCGAGGCACAUCAAAAGGCAACAUUCCAAGGAAUCUGAAGUGGCCUGCCAGCUUGCAGGAACGAG